GGUGGCUCCCGGUCCUGUGAGUCCAGAGGCGCCUUUUGAUCCGUCCAAGGCCCCAGUUAUCGAGGGCUUCAGCCCCACGGUCUACACCAAUCCAGAGGGCUUCAAGGAAAAGUUUAUUCGCAAGACCCGUGAGAACCCAAUGGUGCCUAUAGGCUGUCUGGGUACGGCGGCUGCCCUAACCUAUGGCCUUUACUGCUUCCACCGCGGCCAGAGCCACCGAUCCCAACUAAUGAUGCGCACCCGGAUCGCUGCCCAGGGUUUCACGGUCGUAGCCAUCUUGUUGGGGUUAGCGGCAUCCACUAUGAAGUCUCGAUCCUGAGUGUAUGGCUGGGUAUUGAAAGCUCCAUGGAAAUCACUACAAAACCCAGGAGUAACAAACAGCCCUGUCAGACUUGCUACCUCCGUUUCUGACAGGACCUUAUUGUCGUUUGGGUGAGGAAGUGGUCGGUUUUGUGACUGAUUUGCGCAUCCACCCCCGCCCCUC
rnacentral:lncRNA from 1 species